rnacentral:rRNA from 1 species
GACGAACGCUGGCGGCGUGCUUAACACAUGCAAGUCGAGCGGAAAGGCCCUGCUUUUGUGGGGUGCUCGAGUGGCGAACGGGUGAGUAACACGUGAGUAACCUGCCCUUGACUUUGGGAUAACUUCAGGAAACUGGGGCUAAUACCGGAUAGGAGCUCCUGCUGCAUGGUGGGGGUUGGAAAGUUUCGGCGGUUGGGGAUGGACUCGCGGCUUAUCAGCUUGUUGGUGGGGUAGUGGCUUACCAAGGCUUUGACGGGUAGCCGGCCUGAGAGGGUGACCGGCCACAUUGGGACUGAGAUACGGCCCAGACUCCUACGGGCGGCAGCAGUGGGGAAUAUUGCACAAUGGGCGGAAGCCUGAUGCAGCAACGCCGCGUGCGGGAUGACGGCCUUCGGGUUGUAAACCGCUUUCGCCUGUGACGAAGCGUGAGUGACGGUAAUGGGUAAAGAAGCACCGGCUAACUACGUG